rnacentral:rRNA from 1 species
UUAAUUAAAAGAAAUUAUUUUUAUUUUUUCACGGAAGUUGGGGGGAGCUAAAAUUGUAUAUAUUUAUAGAUACCAACAUGUAGUAUAAUUAAGAAAAUAGUAUUUAGGAGUGAUAGGCUUACCACACCCAACGAUAACUUGAUGGUUUUAAAAUGUACUAGUACAUAGACACUUUUGAAAUGAUAAGGUUUUAAAAGUCAAACAAAUUUUCUUAAUUAUUAUAUAUAAUAUUUAAUCAUUAAUACAAUAAUAAAAUAACAUAUAUUUCAAAUAGUUGUUGAAUAUACUAACCUGUAUUAAAAUUAAAUAAAAUAUUUAUAAUGUUAAUAUUAGUAACUUAUAGAUGUUAGUAAUGAACUUGGCAAAAAGUCUUUCAACUGUUUAUCAAAAACAUAGCUAUAUGGAUGAAUAUAUAGUGAUUUCUGCUCAAUGCAAGUUAAAUAGCCGCAGUACUUUGACUGUGCUAAGGUAGCGCAAUCAAUUGACUUUUAAAUGGAGUCCCGUAUGAAAGAACCUAUGGAGGGCUACUUUCUCAUUGACAAUUAAUGAAUUUAAUCAAGAAGUGCAAAUGCUUUUACAUAAAUAAUAGACGAGAAGACCCUAGAAAUUUUAUAGAGAUACUUUUUGUUGGGGCAACAAAGUAGUAAAUUAAUCUACUGUUAUGACACGCAAGUUUUAUCUUGACAGAUUAAAUUACUCUAGGGAUAACAGCAUAAUUUGCGAAAGUUUGUGACCUCGAUGUUGGAUU